rnacentral:rRNA from 1 species
GAUGAACGCUGGCGGCGUGCCUAAUACAUGCAAGUCGAGCGAACAGACGAGGAGCUUGCUCCUCUGACGUUAGCGGCGGACGGGUGAGUAACACGUGGAUAACCUACCUAUAAGACUGGGAUAACUUCAGGAAACCGGAGCUAAUACCGGAUAAUAUAUUGAACCGCAUGGUUCAAUAGUGAAAGACGGUUUUGCUGUCACUUAUAGAUGGAUCCGCGCCGCAUUAGCUAGUUGGUAAGGUAACGGCUUACCAAGGCAACGAUGCGUAGCCGACCUGAGAGGGUGAUCGGCCACACUGGAACUGAGACACGGUCCAGACUCCUACGGGAGGCAGCAGUAGGGAAUCUUCCGCAAUGUGCGAAAGCCUGACGGAGCAACGCCGCGUGAGUGAUGAAGGUCUUCGGAUCGUAAAACUCUGUUAUUAGGGAAGAACAAAUGUGUAAGUAACUAUGCACGUCUUGACGGUACCUAAUCAGAAAGCCACGGCUAACUACGUG